GACGAACCGUGCGAACGUUGUUCGGAUUCACUGGCUUAAAGGGCGCGUAGGCGGGUCAGCAAGUCUGGGGUGAAAGCUUUCGGCUCAACCGGGAAAAGGGCCUUGGAUACUGCUGGUCUGGAGGAAGGUAGGGGCGUGGUGGAACUUCCGGUGGAGCGGUGAAAUGCGUAGAUAUCGGAAGGAACGCCGGGUGGCGAAAGCGACACGCUGGACCUUUUCGUGACGCUGAGGCGCGAAAGCCAGGGGAGCAAACGGGG
rnacentral:rRNA from 1 species